rnacentral:rRNA from 1 species
GAUCAUGGCUCAGGAUGAACGCUAGCUACAGGCUUAACACAUGCAAGUCGAGGGGGCAUCGGGAAGAAAGCUUGCUUUCUUUGCCGGCGACCGGCGCACGGGUGAGUAACACGUAUCCAACCUGCCCUUUACUCGGGGAUAGCCUUUCGAAAGAAAGAUUAAUACCCGAUAGCAUAAUGAUUCCGCAUGGUUUCAUUAUUAAAGGAUUCCGGUAAAGGAUGGGGAUGCGUUCCAUUAGGCUGUUGGUGAGG